rnacentral:lncRNA from 1 species
UCAUCUUCGUCACCUUCAUUAUCCAAAUCACUUUCAUCUUCUUGCUGCGGAAUCUCUAUACCUUCAUUAAGGUCUUCCAUAUUCAUCUCCGCGUGUCUUCGUUUAAAUAUUUUUACUCGCUUCCCUGCAAUUGGUAUUUUUAAUUUUGUACCAUCUAACUCUCGUAAUGAAUAAGUCGCAUUAUCAUGAACAGUUGUUACUACAUAUGGUCCAAACCAAUGUUUUGAAAAUUUUCGCAAAGUACUAUGUUGAUUAUCUAGACUAUUGUCAUAAACAAGUACCAAGUCACCUUCCUCGAUUGCUUUUGGUCUCAAUCGAUGUUGCUUAUCGAAUCGUGCCUUGUUUUGUAACCUUGCUCUUUUUAACCUUCCCAAUGCUAUCU